GGUAUCAGAAGUGCGAAUGCUGACGUGAGUAACGACAAAACGGGUGAAAAACCCGUUCGCCGAAAGACCAAGGGUUCCAGUCCAACGUUAAUCGGGGCUGGGUGAGUCGACCCCUAAGGCGAGGCCGAAAGGCGUAGUCGAUGGGAAAAUGGUUAAUAUUCCAUUACUUCUGUGUAAUGCGAUGAGAGGACGGAGAAGGCUAAAUCAGCCUGGCGUUGGUUGUCCAGGUGAAAGGAUGUAGGCAUGUAUCUUAGGCAAAUCCGGGGUACUCUAUGCUGAGAUCUGAUAGCAAGCUGUACUUGUACAGCGAAGUGGUUGAUGCCAUGCUUCCAGGAAAAGUCUCUAAGCUUCAGUUACACAGGAAUCGUACCCGAAACCGACACAGGUGGUCAGGUCGAGUAGACCAAGGCGCUUGAGAGAACUCUGCUGAAGGAACUAGGCAAAAUGGUACCGUAACUUCGGGAGAAGGUACGCUGUUGUUGGUGAUGGAACUCGCUUCCUGAGCUGACGACAGCCGCAGAAACCAGGCCGCUGCAACUGUUUAUUAAAAACAUAGCACUCUGCAAACACGAAAGUGGACGUAUAGGGUGUGAUGCCUGCCCGGUGCUGGAAGGUUAAUUGAUGGGGUUAGCGUAAGCGAAGCUCUUGAUCGAAGCCCCAGUAAACGGCGGCCGUAACUAUAACGGUCCUAAGGUAGCGAAAUUCCUUGUCGGGUAAGUUCCGACCUGCACGAAUGGCAUAAUGAUGGCGGCGCUGUCUCCAGCAGAGGCUCAGUGAAAUCGAAAUCGCUGUGAAGAUGCAGUGUACCCGCGGCUAGACGGAAAGACCCCGUGAACCUUUACUGCAGCUUGACACUGAACUUUGACCUUACUUGUGUAGGAUAGGUGGGAGGCUUUGAAGCUGGAACGCUAGUUCCAGUGGAGCCGUCCUUGAAAUACCACCCUGGUAAUGUUGAGGUUCUAACUCUGUCCCGUGAUCCGGGACGAGGACCGUGUCUGGUGGGUAGUUUGACUGGGGCGGUCUCCUCCUAAAGAGUAACGGAGGAGUACGAAGGUGCGCUCAGCGUGGUCGGAAAUCACGCGUAGAGUAUAAAGGCAAAAGCGCGCUUAACUGCGAGACCCACAAGUCGAGCAGGUACGAAAGUAGGUCUUAGUGAUCCGGUGGUUCUGUAUGGAAGGGCCAUCGCUCAACGGAUAAAAGGUACUCUGGGGAUAACAGGCUGAUACCGCCCAAGAGUUCAUAUCGACGGCGGUGUUUGGCACCUCGAUGUCGGCUCAUCUCAUCCUGGGGCUGAAGCAGGUCCCAAGGGUAUGGCUGUUCGCCAUUUAAAGAGGUACGCGAGCUGGGUUUAGAACGUCGUGAGACAGUUCGGUCCCUAUCUACCGUGGGCGCUGGAAAUUUGAGAGGAUCUGCUCCUAGUACGAGAGGACCAGAGUGGACGAACCUCUGGUGUACCGGUUGUGACGCCAGUCGCAUCGCCGGGUAGCUAUGUUCGGAAGGGAUAACCGCUGAAAGCAUCUAAGCGGGAAGCCUACCUCAAGAUAAGAUUUCCCUAGGACUUUAUGUCCUCUAAAGAGCCGUUCGAGACUAGGACGUUGAUAGGUUGGAUGUGGAAGCAUAGUGAUAUGUGAAGCUGACCAAUACUAAUUGCUCGUGAGGCUUGACUA
rnacentral:rRNA from 1 species